rnacentral:rRNA from 1 species
GUCUACAACUAUGCUACCCUGAACAAGCCAGAUACUGUCUGAUCUUGGAAGCUUAGCAGAGUCGGGCCUGGUUAGUACUUGGAUGGGAGACCACCUAGGAAGACCAGGUGCUGUAGGCA